rnacentral:lncRNA from 1 species
GCUCUCAAAAUAGCGGGUUGCUGCACAAGACAUCCCUCCAACGCUAAAGGGUGAUCAAAGAUCCUCGACUAACGUGACAGUCCUAUUUUACCAAAACAGGGUUUUAGAACAAAUAUUAUGAGCCUAGAAAUCAAGCAUGAAUAUUAAGAUCAAAACAGUGUGCAUAAGAAUUAAGGAACAAUAAUGAACUUAAAUAAUCAGCUUGCACAAUAGUAAGAAAUAACUAGGCACAAAUAAUAUCAAUGCUGAAAAUAACAACACACUAAAACCCAGACUGUCACGUCGUCUCACUACACCGCUAUCAUCAUCGAGCAAUCAAAUCCGCCCACAAAUUGUGCAAUCACACCCAAGUAAAUAAUACUAGCAGAUUGCACAAAAUUACUCAACAAAUAAAGCGAGGCAACGGGUAACUCACAGCACGUAGAUUGUCUACGUGGGAAGACCAGCUCAGCGAACACAAGGUUCUGUCCCAGAAAACCAAUUCCGCCGCCCACGUCCGGACCUGCACGGCGGGAGGUUGAUGGAGAUACUAGAGCCGCUGCCGGAGCCGAGGGAGACGUCCACGGCACCAGCCCGAGAAGAGGAACACCGCGCAGCAAGGAGCCCAAGCACCAGGCCACGGUGGACAGAGACCAGAGAAGAUGCACGGCACCACACAGGUGCACGAACACAGCAACAGAGAACAGGUAAAACACGAGCGCAGCUCCACUCCCUUCCUCUCUCAAUCAGUACCAGCUAGAACCACCACCGGUUGGCGAUGGAAUCGGAUCAGAGUAGUGAACAGAGAGAGGAGAAAGAGCAGAGAACCAGCGGCUGCGUCCUGUCUCAGCCAGGGGAUGCCUCACCCACUUUAAGGAGUCGAGCAAGCCAUGAAAUCGGAGGCCGUUGAGGAGGAGAUAUCGCAGAGAGGAGCACGUCGCACGGCGCGGAAGUCGGGCGCACGGUUGAGCGCCGCCGCCGCCGCCGCUCGGCCUCAUGGCCCCGCUCGGCCUCGGGCAAAUGCCCUUGCCCUCGCUCGCUAGCUUUUCUGGCUGCCCUACUGGGCUGCUCGGCCCAACCGGCCUGGUAGCGGCCCAGCGGGUGACCAUUUCUCCUUUUUUUAAUUUCAUUUCUCAUAUUUUCAAUAAAGAAAAUAAAGGGAAAAUCCCUUCAAAUGAACAGCAAUCCCCACCAUUUUCACUGUUAUUUUCUGAUCAAUGUCAUUGAGCUCCCGUACUGUUUAUAUACUACUUUUCGACAGAGGUACUUGUUAGGUUUGAACCAAAGCCUAUCCCAGUGUACUCCAACCUUGCACGAGUAAGCGGAGGACUACGCCUUGAUCCACAAACCCUAGUGUGAGAAUCUUCGCACAAAAGGCACAUAGUACUAGGCAGAUUAUCUGCUUCUCUUACGGGGCAGGGCGUUACGGUCAUGCCCUUUAAUAUCUAUUCAUGAGCUCACUAGAGAGAAAACCCCAUUCUCUCCUGGACUGCGACCCCACAGUCAGCUCAUAUAGGUGAAAUCGUUAAGGAAAUUCUGUAGGACAAUUUCCCUGCUUAUAACAUUGACUUCAUUAAGAGCAUAUCGCUCAACCUGCCAUACAGUCAGAGCACAGCAGCUCAUGAGACUCUUUAUCUUUUGUGCUCUUGGUUCCACAGUGCUUCGUUUCCUGGAGCCUGGAUCUCGGGAUCUCCGGUCACACAGGACAGUUAUCCGCAGUUGAAACCGCUAACAGGGUACGAGUCCCAUUCCCAUACACGCUGCUUGGAUUGGCUUUUGAGCCAGCCCUUUGGUGAAAGGAUCAGCAAGGUUCCUUUCAGACUUGAUGUAAUCUACGGUUAUUACACCCGUCUCUCUAGCAUGCCGUCAUGAAUCAAGUCGUCUUCUGAUAUGCCUCGAGGAUUUUUGGUUGUCCUUUCUACUGUUCACUUUCAGCAACACAGAAGUGUUGUCACAGUAUACUAGGACAACCGGUAUCGGCUUUGCUAGCAUUGGAAGGUCUGACAAUAGGUCUCUCAACCAUUCAGCCUCCAAUGCUGCUGAAUCAAGUGCAACUAAUUCAGCCUCCUUGGUGGAACGUGUCGACACUGAUUGUUUAGACGAUCUCCAUGACACGGCCCCACCAGCUAAAGUGAACACAUAGCCACUUGUAGACUUCAUUUGAUCCGAGUCAGAGAUCCAGUUUGCAUCACUGAAUCCUUCAAGUACUGACGGAAAUCCGGUAUAUUUAAUACCAAGAUUCAUCGCUCCCUUCAAAUACCGAAGCACUCUGUACAAGGCUACCCAGUGUCUAUCUCUGGACUGGCCGAAUAACGAGCCAGUCUGCAUACUGCAUAUGAGAUAUCUGGUCUAGUUGCACUGCUCAGGUACAUGAGAGAUCCGAUGAUCUGCGAAUAUAGUAGCUGGUUCACAGGCUCGCCUUCAUAUUUACUGAGCGUGUAGGAUGGAUCAUAGGGCGUGGUGACUGGUUUACAGUCCAUAUGUCCAAAGCGAGUGAGGACCUUUUCCACAUAAUGGGAUUGUGACAAAGUAAUCCCAUCCUCACCCUUUAUCAGCUUGAUGUUCAGUAUAACAUCAGCUUCACCCAAGUCCUUCAUAUCAAAGUUCUUGGAGAGGAAUAAUUUUGUCUCCAUGAUAGCCUCCAAAUCGGUCCCAAAUAUCAAUAUGUCAUCAACGUAUAAACACAUGAUGACACCUUUGCCCCCAGAGAAGCGAUAAUACACACACUUGUCGGCUUCGUUUACACAAAACCCGGCAGUGGUCAGAGUAUUAUUAAACUUCUCAUGCCAUUGUCUGGGAGCUUGCUUAAGACCGUAUAAGGAUUUAAUCAAGCGACACACUUUGCUCUCUUGUCCUUUAACCACAAAUCCUUCUGGUUGCUGCAUAUAAAUUUCCUCUUCCAGCUCUCCAUUUAGGAAUGCUGUCUUUACGUCCAUUUGAUGAACAAGAAGUUUAUACGCAGCUGCCAGCGCUAUAAGCACACGGAUUGUGGGCAAUCGAGCCACCGGAGAAUAAGUAUCAAAAUAAUCCUCCUCUUUCUUUUGAGUAAAACCCUUAGCCACAAGACGAGCCUUGUACUUUUCAAUAGUACCAUCAGGUCUCCUCUUCCUCCUAAAGAUCCAUUUACAGCCCACAGGCUUGCAACCAGCUGGGAGAUCAGUUAUCUCCCAAGUUCCGUUCGAGAUGAUUGAAUCCAUCUCGCUACGGACAGCCUCCCUCCAGUACUCUGCAUCCGGAGAUGUAUAUGCCUCUGUGAGGGAGCGUGGUUCUUCAUCCACUAGAUAGAUAAUAUAAUCAUCACCCAGAGACUUUUCAGUCCUUUGUCUCUUACUCCUCCUUAACUCCAAAUCUGGAGUCUGGUCAUGGACACUCGAGGGCAGAGAAUAUGUCCGAGAUGGACCAUCUGGGGCUACUACUUCCUUAUCCCGCAUAGGGAAGAUGCUCUCAAAGAAUGUCACAUCCCGAGACUCCAUUAUUACAUUUACAGCGAUUUCGCUUGUCUCGGAAUGGACCACUAGAAAUCUAUAAGCUGCACUGUUAUGUGCAUAACCCAAGAAGACACAAUCUACGGUCUUAGGGCCUAGCUUUCUCUUCUUCGGCAACGGGACAUUCACCUUUGCAAGGCAGCCCCAAGUUCGAAGAUGCGAAAGAUCUGGCUUCCUUCCUUUAAAUCCUUCAUAGGGUGUGGCCUCACGGUUGCGAGGCGGCACCCUGUUCAGGACAUAGCAUACUGUGAGUACUGCCUCGCCCCACCAUAUGUCAGGCAUCCCCGAACUUUGCAACAAAGCAUUAACUAAGUCACACACCGUUCGGUUCUUCCUUUCAGCUACCCCAUUUGACUGAGGUGAAUAUGGAGCAGUGGUUUCAUGAAUGAUUCCACACUCUUUGCAGUACUCAUCAAAAAGGUUGGAAAGGUAUUCACCUCCUCUAUCAGACCGUAACCUUUUAAUUUUCUUGUCUAGCUGGUUUUCAACUUCAGUCUUAUAGAUCUUAAAGUGUUCUAGUGCCUCAUCUUUAGUUCUGAGUAAGUAAAUAUAACAGAACCUGGUAGCAUCAUCUAUCAAGGUAAGAAAGUAUCUUUUACCGCCUUUUGUGAUUAUACCAUUCAUCUCACAGAUAUCUGAGUGAAUUAGUUCUAAAGGAGUGGUACUUCUGCCUUCAACCGUAUGAAACGGUUUUCUAGGCUGCUUAGCUUGCACACAAAUACCACAUUUUACACCUUUAACAUGUUUAUAUUCAGGAAUUAAAGACAUGUCACUUAAUCUCUUAAUGGCCUCAAAAUUCACAUGACACAAACGAGAAUGCCAUAUAUUAUUAAUGGAAUCGUUAUUACAUACCACAUUAACAUGGUAAGAAGAACGAUUAUUCAAAACAGAAAGACGGAACAAACCGCCUGACUCAUAUGACUUUCCAACAAAAGUACCAAACUUAGACAGGACCACUUUAUUAGACUCAAACACUAAUUUGAGACCCUGUCGACAUAGCAGCGACACUGAUAUGAGGUUCCGGCUCAUCGAUGGCACAUAGAGUACGUCCUUCAGAACGAGCGUCUUUCCUGAAGUUAACUUCAGGUAGACCUGUCCAGUACCUCGAACUGCUGCCGAAACACCAUUUCCCAUCAAGACUGGUGCGCUGUUGUAUCCCUGGAAUGAAGAGAACAUGGAUCGAUCAGCACAAAUAUGAACAGUAGCACCGGAAUCCAUCCACCAGUCAUCUGAUGGACUUGCCAUAAAGGCCUGAAGUGCAUACCCUGGGGUGGAGUUAACCACCACGUUCCCUUCUUUGCGCUGAGGUGGAGGACCUUUUCCCUUCCUAAGUUUGCACCUCCGAGCUGUAUGCCCGGAGACACCACAAACGUAGCAGAUAAAGUCCUCCUUUUUCUUCUUCAUCUUUUUGGAUUUAGGUUGGUUCAGAUUCUUCUGUGGAGAGUUCUUCUUCUUCUUCUGGAAUUUUCUAUCUCCACCCUUCUCAACAACGUGAGCCUGGAGUUGCUGGGAUGGCUUGUUACUAGACCUUGCACGCUCUUCCACAUUAAUCGCAGCUGACAACUCAGUGAGAGUCAUUUGCUUCUUCAUGUGGCGGCGUGAAGUCACAAAGUCUCGCCAAGAAGGCGGGAGCUUUGCCAGUAUUGCAUUCACCUGAAAACUGUCUGGUAGGACGCAGCCAUAUUGGACCAAGUCCCUAACAAGGAGUUGAAUCUCCUGUAGCUGCUCCAUAACAGACCUUCCCUCAACCAUUUUAUAGUUGAGAUAGUUUUCCGUUGUGAAUGACUCAUUGCCAUUGUCAACUUCAGAGAACUCGUUCUCAAGUUUAGUCCAUAGACCCUUAGCGGAGGUAAAACCAGAGUACACGUCAAAUAAGCGGUUCGACAAGACGUUCAGCAGACGAGACAAGCAUGCCUCAUUGGCUUCGUCCCACUUGGCCUUCUCCGCUAGUGCGGCGGCCUUCGCUGCAUCAUCAGAAUCAUCUGAUGCAGCCUGUGGAACAGCCGACGUCACUACCCAAAAUAAUUUUAGGUCAGUGAGCCACAUGCGAGUCUUAAUCUGCCAGCGCUUAAAGCUUGCGCCGUCGAACGCUUCAGGCUUAAUGACAUCAGAACUGGAGGCCAUUGUACGAAUUGGUUUUCUGGAUUGUUGUAAAAUUAGAGAAAUAAGCGACAUGCUUUCUACAUAUUUAAAUAGAUUAAAUAUUCUAAUUCCGAAUAAAAUAAUCAUAUAACUCAGAUAAAUACCAUAUGAAAUUAUAGCAGCAAUGAACAGUAGCAAUUCUAAGACAUGUAAACAUGUAAAAUAGCUACACAGGUCCAUUUCAUAAUUAAACAUGGCUUGCAGAUGAAGAAGGCAGAUUAAACAAAUAAACAUAAUUGUUUAUCUUGAAGUAUUGCUCUCAAAAUAGCGGGUUGCUGCACAAGACAGCCCUCCAACGCUAAAGGGUGAUCAAAGAUCCUCGACUAACGUGACAGUCCUAUUUUACCAAAACAGGGUUUUAGAACAAAUAUUAUGAGCCUAGAAAUCAAGCAUGAAUAUUAAGAUCAAAACAGUGUGCAUAAGAAUUAAGGAACAAUAAUGAACUUAAAUAAUCAGCUUGCACAAUAGUAAGAAAUAACUAGGCACAAAUAAUAUCAAUGAUGAAAAUAACAACACACUAAAACCCAGACUGUCACGUCGUCUCACUACACCGCU